GCCUAUGGCCAUACCACCUUGAACUGUGCCUGAUCUCAUCUGAUCUCAAAAGCUAAGCAGGGUUGGGCCUGCUUAGUACUUGGAUGGGAGACAUUGGUGUAGGAA
rnacentral:rRNA from 1 species